UGAAACUGGGGGUCUUGAGGGCAGGAGAGGAAAGCAGAAUUCCUGGUGUAGCGGUGAAAUGCGUAGAAAUCAGGAGGAACACCGGUGGCGAAGGCGACUGCCUGGACUGNCCCUGACGCUG
rnacentral:rRNA from 1 species